GAAAUAUGCAAAAUACUCUUCUGCUUGAAAAGAAUAAUAGGUGAUAGUACUUCCUUGGAACUAGGUCAACAGCAGAGUAACUCAAACUUGACUGCCCGAGCCAACUGCUUGUUACUUUAACGUGAGAUGCUCUCCUGGUCUUUAUCCAUCUUUGAGCGAGCUGGUUAAGAUCAAAGUUAAGUUCACUGCUAGUGUGUAGAAUAGCAACCCUGUUGGCCAGAGUUUGAAGUGGCGUUACUAUGUGGCGGAUGUACAUGAAGUCUAAAGGAACAAGGGUAGUGGUGCACUGUGACCACGAACAACACGGAGCAACGGCAUCUGAAAGGCAGACAACGACAACAGCCCACAGAUGGUGCCAGUCAUCCCGAUAACGUACACCCGUUAAUUCUGUGAGUCAGGAUCCAGCCGCACUUGCUUUGUGCAACAGGAGGAGAGGCAGAAAGAUUAUUUAAAGAAACAGUGAAUAGAAGGCUCCAGUUUGCUCUUAGUUCCUGGUCGACUUUGAUGAGGACGGCAUAAGCAGCAGGAAUGCGGUCUCGAAGGCCUGAGGCCGCAUUUCCCCUCAUUUCCGCGAGGAUCAACCCUGAGAAGUGGAAGCUCUUCACAGUCAGAGGCAUCUGGCAGGAGCAGAGGGACUCAGGCGAACCAAGAUUUCUGUUUGGAUACCGAUUAAUUCAGUCUCCCCGUCCCCAGAUUCCAGUGUCAAUACCUCCUGCCACUUUCUGAAUCCUGAGAGGAGGACUUACUUUUGGAAUCAGAAAAAAAAAAAUCACUGCU
rnacentral:lncRNA from 1 species